AUAAUAAUAAGCAAGAGUGGCAUGGUGGCAGGCUAUUGCACUUCUGCAUCAUCGCAUCAUCGUGAAAUGUGUCGUUGAUUUAAUUUGUGCCUUUGCACUUGUUUUUCAGGUUCUAUCCAGAACGGGCCUCCCGCACUGACGGAGCAACAUUCAAACGGUGAAAACAAAGCUGAAAUUUCUUCCGUGAAUGUCGCGGCAUCUUCGGUUUGCCUGCAGUCUUUGGAAAGUCUCGCUGCUCGGGAUACAGAAGGGAAGGGGACAAACUCCUCACCUGAAACUGUGGACGAGAUGGAAAAGGAGAUCGAGAAGGAUGAAGAUGAGGAUGGAGAAAAGAAAGAGUUGAAUGAGAAGAAAAGGUGUUUGCAUGACGUCGCCCAAAGUUGCACCAAGGUUUUGCAGCCGAAAUUCGAACACCGGCAAAAUCUUGCACCAAGAGGAGAGAGAGACGCGGGAUCUUGUGACUCGUCCAAACAGCAUGGUGCAAGGUCAACUGCAGCAACAUCAAGUCACAGCUGCACAGACCAAGAUCAGGCCAGGGUGAGCAGGAUUCCUGCCUGUGUGAAGAAGGUACAACAGGCCAUAGCUUUGACUGUGAAUCAGAAAAGUGACCAAAAGUACAUUGGUGGCACAGCUCAAACACCUGUUCUGCCUUUGCUGCCACAGACUAGCGUGAGGACUUCCUCAAGCCAACAGGCAUCUCCUUACGCUCCAAUUGCUUACAUUGUUCCGAGUUAUCCAGCUUCACAUCGUGGCCUUCCAUAUGUCCAGACUUUGCAAGCGCCUAUCUCCCCUGAUCCAUUCUACCUUUACAGACCACAGGUUGAUUACUAUUCUGGACAUUCACUGCCACAGCCCAUUGUCCCUGUGCAAACCCAGGUGGCCAAAGCAAAAUCAAAAUCGGAUCCUGAAACACUAUCAACACCAAAGGCAGUCAGGCCGUGUGAUGGGGUCUUUGAUCGAAAAAUCAAAGACCGCCAUAGGACUAAGCAUUUAUUCACAGAGGAGGGAUCCGUUUCGAAUCAAGAGCUUGCCGGUAGUAGGAAGAAUGGACCAAGGAGUCCUGGAAGUCCCAAGAUAAUUCUGGACCUAGAUCGGCAUGCAGCUGCAGCCAAAAGGCCACAAUUACCUGCUCCGCUCAUUACGGGAUUCCCUUACAGGUCUCUCUUUCAGUGCGGGGAUAUGCUUCCGACUCAUCAGUCCUUCUUCCAACCCAGAAGCUAUUCACCACGGCCAGGCUUUGCACACACCUAUUACAACGCAGGACCCCCGACGGUCCCGGGCACGUCGGGGUACCGUAACCCUACCUACAUCAGUUUUAACCAGUCGACACGCUCAACGCUGCAGCUACUCAGGCAACAGAUUCCGCAGACCGUUGCCACAGCCUCGCCUCUUCAACAUCAACAUCAGCAUCCGCAGCAGCAGCAGCAGCAGCAAUGGCCAAACAUCCAGCAAAAUGGGCAGUUGCAGCAGCUAUCGACGACACUACAUGGAAAUGUGCAGUUGAAGCAAGGCCAUUCUGUGGACAUCAGAACAAGCAACACAGUGCUGAGAAACGACCGUGAUGCCGUACCAGCAAGCCCGACCCCUUUCGUGCAGGAGUGACGCCGGGUUCUCACCACAAGAUGAAGCUUCUACGGUGGGGGUGAAGGCCGCUUAACUCUGCCCUCCCCUACCUUCCGAUCAUGGACUUCAUUCCACGGUUUCCACCUCGUAACCUCAGGUGCUGAGUUUUUUUUUUAUUUUAUUUUUUUUGGUGGUGGAGAGGGACACGCGUUUCCACUUCAGAGACCUUCUUCUCAACGUCAGCAUUCGGUUCCACAGGACGUCGGGGUUCCAAAGCCUUAAUACUUGAGAGAGACGCAUGGCGAUGUAAAGUUUUAUUAAAAAGCCUACUUCAGGGACCGAAUCUUUUUUAUACCUGAUGUCUAUGCACUAGUCUGCUUCUGCUGAUCCUCCGGUUUUGAGAGCAGCACACAGCUAUUGUCUUUUUCAAUUUCGAGUUUACAAGUUCUUUUUAAAAACUUUGCUGUUGGCACUGGGAACCCCCCUUGUUUUCCAUUACUCUUGGCAUGUCACGCUGCGGUCCCGAGUUGGCGGCCCUCCCUUCGGCCUGUGAGUGUCGUCUUGUAAUACCUUGUGUUUUGUUUUCUUUUCAAAAAUAAUGACUGCAGUGGGGAAAACACAAAAUCUCAGGAAGUUUUAUUUGCAAAGGUUGGGUUGUGGCAGAUCGUGUGUUAUUAUUAUUAUUAUUAUUAUUAUUAUAAUUAUUAUUAUUAUCCUCAGCUGUGACUCAUACUUGUGGAACCAUUUUUUGAACCGGACGUCCUUUCUCAGUGGGCUUGUGACGGAGACGUGGUCUGAAGUUUGAGACCGAGCUCAAGUUUGCUCACGCUGUUGCAGGGAUCCGCCUUUGUUGUCGGAGAGUCUUCGGCCUUUGAACGAGCUGUAAAGACGCGAAUAACGAACGAUCUUUCCCCGUCUUGAACACGCGCACACACACACACACACACACACACACACACACACACACACACACACGAAGACGUUCAGCAACACACGUUUCAUUUUGGACCAUUUUCCUCUCGGGUAGCUCAGGUAUCCAUUCGUUGUAACACUCGUGUUACAUUUUCCUGCACACUGGUGGAUAUUUGAUUCCUCUAUGUACAAUUUCCUUGAGGACCGAACACCGUUCUUUUUUUUUUUUUUAAUCCGGUGGACCCGAGAGUUGUGACGCUCGUUCUGUCGUCCGAGCCUCGCCCUCAGACAGACCCCCGGGUUCUCGAGGGGGUCGGAGGGGAUUUUAUUGUCAAUUGUUUUUAAAAAAAAAUUAUUAUCUGUUUUUCGCUGCAAACGGAUGAUCGAGUGGAGGGAAUUCACGACGCUAUUUAUUGGUACAGAUUUUAAUUUUGCUAAUUGCACAGUCAGUGUCCAGAACUUACCUCAGUUUUGAAUAUAUCGUGUUGUUUUGAGAAUGGAAACAUGCCGGAGCUGGUUAUCCGACUCUGGGAGUCAUGUUUUCACGUUAUUCUUUUUAUUAUUUUUUAAAAUUUUGAUGUACUAUUUCAAUACGAGGCGUUAAGGAAUAAAUGCUUUAAUGUCAAUCUCACUACGAUCUGU
rnacentral:lncRNA from 1 species